CCUACGGGAGGCUGCAGUGGGGAAUAUUGCACAAUGGGGGAAACCCGGUUCCACCAACGCCGCGGGGGCGUGGAAGCCCUCGGGGUCGAAAGGCCCGGUCCUAGGGGAGGAAUCUUGACGGUACCUUAGGAGGAAGCCCCGGCUAACUACGUGCCAGCAGCCGCGGUAAUACGUAGGGGGUUAGCGUUAUCCGGAAUUACGGGGCGUAAAGGGUGCGUAGGCGGCCCUUCAAGUCAGAGGUGAAAGGCUACGGCUCAACCGUAGUAAGCCUUUGAAACUGUAGGGCUUGAGUGCAGGAGAGGAGAGUGGAAUUCCCAGUGUAGCGGUGAAAUGCGUAGAUAUUGGGAGGAACACCAGUUGCGAAGGCGGCUCUCUGGACUGUAACUGACGCUGAGGCACGAAAGCGUGGGGAGCGAACAGGAUUAGAUACCCCUGUAGUC
rnacentral:rRNA from 1 species